GUGCCAGCCGCCGCGGUAAUACGAAGGGGGCUAGCGUUGCUCGGAAUUACUGGGCGUAAAGGGAGCGUAGGCGGAUAGUUCAGUCAGAGGUGAAAGCCCAGGGCUCAACCUUGGAACUGCCUUUGAUACUGGCUAUCUUGAGUUUGGGAGAGGUAUGUGGAACUCCGAGUGUAGAGGUGAAAUUCGUAGAUAUUCGGAAGAACACCAGUGGCGAAGGCGACAUACUGGCCCAAUACUGACGCUGAGGCUCGAAAGCGUGGGGAGCAAACAGGAUUAGAAACCCCCGUAGUCC
rnacentral:rRNA from 1 species